rnacentral:rRNA from 1 species
UAACAAGGUUUCCGUAGGUGAACCUGCGGAAGGAUCAUUAUUGAAUAAACCUGAUGUGGUUGUAGCUGGCCCUUUCGGGGGUAUGUGCCCACCCGUCAUCUUUAUCUUUCCACCUGUGCACCUUUUGUAGACCUGGAUAUAACACUUUCUGAGGAAACUUAGUCGGGAGAAAUGUUGCGCUUCACAGCCAGCUUUUCUUGUAUGUCCAGGCCUAUGUUUUCAUAUACCCCAAAAAUGUAACAGAAUGUAUCAUUGGGCCUUGUGCCUAUAAACUAUAUACAACUUUCAGCAACGGAUCUCUUGGCUCUCGCAUCGAUGAAGAACGCAGCGAAAUGCGAUAAGUAAUGUGAAUUGCAGAAUUCAGUGAAUCAUCGAAUCUUUGAACGCACCUUGCGCUCCUUGGUAUUCCGAGGAGCAUGCCUGUUUGAGUGUCAUUAAAUUCUCAACCUUAUCAGCUUUUGUUGAUAAUGGCUUGGAUGUGGGGGUUUUGGCUGGCUUCGNCAAGAGGUCUGCUCCCCUUAAAUGCAUUAGCCGGUACCCUGCGUGGACUGUCUAUUGGUGUGAUAAUUAUCUACGCCGUGGAUGUCUGCUCUUUAUGGGUUGUACUGCUUCUAACCAUCCAUUUA